AUAGGAGAAGAGAACACUAAACAAUUUCAUUAUGGCUCUAAUACGGAUCAACACUGGUGUUCUGUGCUUGAUGGCACUUUUGAUGGUUUCAACCACUUUAUUGUCGAGUGAAGCAUCAGGGAGGAAGAUAGGCAAGGAAGCUAACAUUGGGGUCGAGGGGCACCGUGAACCCUACACUCCAUGUACGGAUCCUUCAUUUUGUAAUGAUAUCUGCAACAGAGAUGGUUAUUGAGGUGGGACCUGCCGUGAUGGUCACUGCGAAUGCAUCAGAUAAUUGUAGCAAGAAAAUGACCAAGAAUAAUGUUUGGAAAUAAAGAUUCACUUGGGAGCAUUA